AAACCAACUGGGAUUACCUUAGUAACGGCGAGUGAAGCGGUAAAAGCUCAAAUUUGAAAUCUGGUACUUUCAGUGCCCGAGUUGUAAUUUGUAGAAUUUGUCUUUGAUUAGGUCCUUGUCUAUGUUCCUUGGAACAGGACGUCAUAGAGGGUGAGAAUCCCGUUUGGCGAGGAUACCUUUUCUCUGUAAGACUUUUUCGAAGAGUCGAGUUGUUUGGGAAUGCAGCUCAAAGCGGGUGGUAAAUUCCAUCUAAAGCUAAAUAUUGGCGAGAGACCGAUAGCGAACAAGUACAGUGAUGGAAAGAUGAAAAGAACUUUGAAAAGAGAGUGAAAAAGUACGUGAAAUUGUUGAAAGGGAAGGGCAUUUGAUCAGACAUGGUGUUUUUUAAAUGUGCAAGUCUCUCGUGGACAUGUGCCUCUGGAAAUUAACACUGGGCCAACAUCAGUUCUGGCGGCAGGAUAAAUCAUUAAGAAUGUAGCUACUUCGGUAGUGUUAUAGCUUUUUGGAAUACUGCCAGCUGGGUA
rnacentral:rRNA from 1 species